rnacentral:rRNA from 1 species
GCCUACACAUGCAAGUCGAACGCUCACCUUCGGGUGGGAGUGGCAGACGGGAUGAGUAACGCGUGGGAACCUACCCAAGGGUACGGAAUAACUCAUGGAAACUUGGGCUAAUACCGUAUACGUCCUCCGGGAGAAAGAUUUAUCGCCCCUGGAUGGGCCCGCGUCUGAUUAUCUUGUUGGUGGGGUAAUGGCUCACCAAGGCGACGAUCAGUAGCUGGUUUGAGAGGAUGAUCAGCCACACUGGGACUGAGACACGGCCCAGACUCCUACGGGAGGCAGCAGUGGGGAAUAUUGGACAAUGGGCGAAAGCCUGAUCCAGCCAUGCCGCGUGAGUGAAGAAGGCCUUAGGGUUGUAAAACUCUUUCAGCAGGGAAGAUAAUGACGGUACCUGCAUAAGAAGCCCCGGCUAACUCCGUGCCAGCAGCCGCGGUAAUACGGAGGGGGCUAGCGUUGUUCGGAAUUACUGGGCGUAAAGCGCGCGUAGGCGGAUUGUUAAGUCGGGGGUGAAAUCCCGGGGCUCAACCCCGGAACUGCCUCCGAUACUGGCAAUCUCGAGUUCGGGAGAGGUGAGUGGAAUUCCUAGUGUAGAGGUGAAAUUCGUAGAUAUUAGGAGGAACACCAGUGGCUAAGGCGGCUCACUGGCCCGAUACUGACGCUGAGGUGCGAAAGC